ACCAAGUUAGCUAUAAAAGGAAGUGCAGAAUUCACCUAAAACACACAAAUUGGUCUAGGAUCUUGGAGAUGGAGAAUCCACAGCAGUUUCAGAAAAAAGUCAAGGAUGUCUCGUUGGAAGAACUUAGAGAUAAGCUAGCACAAUUUGCUAAAGUUUGAAACUGGGAAAAAUAUCAUAGUCCAAGAAACCUACUCUUAGCUUUGUUUUCCGACAGUAUGUUCACAAGCCACUAAACCUCUGCCACAGAAUCCACCAGGUAGGGGAAGUUGGAGAAUUGUCAGAGAUAUUCCAAUGGAAAGGAGAAGUUGAGAGAGGUUUGCCAAACUGGAGCAGCAAUGAAAAAAAACACUUAGGAAGAACUCUCAGACGUCUUGCUGUAUUUGGUUCAGCUUGCUGAUGUUUGUGGCCUUGAUCUUGGCCAAGCUGCUCUCUCUAAGAUUGUCAAGAAUUCCCAGAAAUACCCUCUUUGAAAUUGAGUUUUCAUUUUACGGUUCUCAAGUCAUCAUAGACUCAUCUAUCUAAGCCUAACAGUAAAAUCUGAUAUAUUUCGGUGUCAUUUGGUUUCCUGCUUCUAUGUAUCACCUAGUUGUCAUCAACCUUUUCAAGAUUUUCUUUUCUUGCAUCAUAUGAGAUGCUACUUUAAGUUCCCUGUCCAUGGCCUUAAAUCUUUGUUCGAGUGCUCUAUCUAAUAUUGUCAAGAUAAUCAGAUAUACCUAUUCUCAGUUUGUUUGGAUUGUCUAUU